rnacentral:rRNA from 2 species
UACGUAGGUGGCAAGCGUUGUCCGGAUUUAUUGGGUUUAAAGGGUGCGUAGGCGGUCUAUUAAGUCAGUGGUGAAAUAUCGCAGCUUAACUGUGAGGGUGCCAUUGAUACUGAUGGACUUGAGUGAAGUCGAGGUAGGCGGAAUUGACGGUGUAGCGGUGAAAUGCUUAGAUAUCGUCAAGAACACCAAUAGUGAAGACAGCUUACUAGGCUUAUACUGACGCUGAGGCACGAAAGUGUGGGGAUCAAACAGG